UUUUCCCAAUAUUUUAAUAUAUUUUCUCCUAAAAUUUCUAAUUUUUCUAGUUUACUAAUCAUAUUUUCUCUGUCUUGUUCUGUUACUAACAAAUUAUAUAUUUUUUCAAUUUCUACAAAAUCUAAACAUAUUUCUUCUUCUUCCUUAAAACUUUCAUAAUAUUCUUCUAGAAAAUUUAAAUUUUCUAAUUCAUCUUUUUCUAUUAAUUGGCAUUCUCUUUCUCUACUGCACUCACAAUUUUCUUUUUCUUUUUCUAUUAUCCAACCACGCUUCUCAGAAUACUCUGAUGGAAUAAUCUUAGUAUAAGUAGGUGCACAAAUUGUAAAUUUUUGUAAUUGCAAAUAAUCUUUACUAAUUAUUAUACCACCAUUAUCUUUUAACAAAAAACUUAAUCCUAAAAUUAAGUCUGUUUUACAAGGUAGAUUUCCAGGAAUCUAUCAUACCUGGUUAGAAGUUUCAGAUUGUAUAAAAAAACUUUCCAAAUCCUCUUUAUAAAGGAUUCUAUUCAAUUUCAGAAGCAUUAGAAGAAUGUAGAAAAUUUAUAGGAAUUAAUUAUUUUGUUGCCCCUUCUUUAAAGAAUGUUUCAGAUCAGCCCUUAGAUUAUGUUUCUAAAUUUUGUGAACAUUGUGAAUGUAUGUCUAAGAAUUUUAAAAUUUUAAAUGAGUCCAAUCAGUCUUUACAACAAGAAAAAUUAGUUUUACAAAAGAAAAUUUCUGAAUUAGAACAAGAAAUUAUUAAUUUAAAGAUUUCAAAUCCAAUUGUUCAGACACAAGCAGGUACUAUAGAGCCAAAGAAGUCUAUAACUAGUCCAACUCAAGCGGAAG
rnacentral:lncRNA from 1 species